rnacentral:ribozyme from 14 species
AAAAUCUGGACGAAAGAGGACAAAACGCAUCUUUUUUUUUUUUUUUUUUUUUUUUUUUUU